rnacentral:tmRNA from 1 species
GGGGGCGUAAUGGUUUCGACGGGGGACGUGGUGGAAAGAGUAGCGAGCCGGGUUGCCGCCAGCCCGUAAAAAAGGUGGACCAGUAAUAACUGCCAACAGCGAAUACGCACUGGCUGCCUAAGGGCAGCCCGUCCUCCCAGCCUCCGCCCGCGGGGCUGGAUCGGGGCGUCACACACGCGGGCUGACCUGCAGGUCCUUCUCCCAGGGGACCGCCAGGGACAUUUACUGGGAUAGCCUCCGGGAAGCCUGUCCAUGGGCGUCCCGGCGGUGAACGCAAAACAGGGACUGCGCUCGGAGAAGCUCUUUUGGUCACUCUUUCGGACGGGGGUUCGACUCCCCCCGCCUCCACCA